rnacentral:rRNA from 1 species
UACGUAGGGUGCGAGCGUUAAUCGGAAUUACUGGGCGUAAAGUGUGCGCAGGCGGCCGCGCAAGUCGAGUGUGAAAGCCCCGGGCUUAACUUGGGAAUUGCGCUCGAAACUACGUGGCUGGAGUGUGGCAGAGGAAGGUGGAAUUCCAGGUGUAGCGGUGGAAUGCGUAGAGAUCUGGAGGAACACCGAUGGCGAAGGCAGCCUUCUGGGCCAACACUGACGCUCAUGCACGAAAGCGUGGGGAGCAAACAGG